CCCUUAGAUGUUCUGGGCUGCACGCGCGCUACACUGAUGCGCUCAACGAGUUUUAACCUUGCCUGGAAAGGUUGGGUAAUCUUUUUAAAACGCAUCGUGAUGGGGAUAGAUUAUUGCAAUUAUUAAUCUUCAACGAGGAAUUCCUAGUAAGCGCGAGUCAUCAGCUCGUGCUGAUUACGUCCCUGCCCUUUGUACACACCGCCCGUCGCACCUACCGAUUGAAUGGUCCGGUGAAGCCUCCGGAUUGGCGCGCACCUCGGUGCCGCCGAGAAGUUGGCUAAACCUUACCAUUUAGAGGAAGGAGAAGUCGUAACA
rnacentral:rRNA from 1 species